GUCCAGUCUGUGACCUGAGCCACCACGGCAGGGUGUCCAGGGUGAGGGGAAGGUGGUGUGAAUCCCCAGUAAUGCAGGUCCUUCCCAGCCCAGGUCCCGGGUACCCAGGGGCUGCCGGAGGUCUACUGCUGUCCUUUCCAGAGCUGCCACCCCCCAGCGAUGACUCAGGGUCCCGGUGGCCCCAGCAUCAUCCCUCCAUCCCUGACUGGAAGGCAGGAGCACAGUUGCAGAGCUGAGAGGCCUUUAAUUUGUUUGAUGUAAGACUUUGCUGCGAGACCAGGGGCUUUGCCUGUGAGGUCUAGCUUGGCCUGGCCUCUGAGAAAGAGCAAACACAGACCUCACUGGAAGGAGCCUAGAGAACAGGAGAGGAGCGGCUGCUGCUGUGUGCCCUCCCAGCGGCAGGUAUAAAGACAAGGGGCUUCUGAGUCCCCUGGAAUCCCAGCUGUGUAAUCGAAGGCGGGUUCAUCUCUCGGAGCCUCAGUUUCCUCAUUUGCAGGUGCCUGUCAUUCUCCUUCAUAGCCAUUGUCACUCUUGCAAUGAUAGCAGAAAUGCUUACAUUUCCGAUACAUCCCCAGCCGGGUGGUAAGGAAGGUCAAGACCCUCUCUUAUCACCUCUGUAUCAGCUCCCUUCUACCUUGCCUCCCUCCACCUGGAGCCUGUUCUGGCUGGUGAAAUGGAGCCAGAGUUUCCUGGAAAGGCUUUCCAUCUCAAGUAAAGUCUGGCUCAGAGAAAACCACUGGUCUCUUUCCUUUUCUUUCUCUAGACAUGAACAUGGGGCACGAAGAACAUGGGGAAGACAAGGACCAGGUUCUCAGAAGGAGCUGCUGUGGGGGAAGCCUUGAGAACUGGAGGAGGUAAAUACAAUUUCUGACUUACAUAAUGAUAUGUAUGCACCAGAAGGCUCUCCUUGUGUGUAUUUAUUCAGCAAACAGUUAUGGAGUCCUUACAAUGUGCUCGUGGAUCUUUGAAGAUGAAUCCAAUUUCGAUCCUGAAAAGUCUCAAAGCCUAAUGCAGGAGUGAUUCUGAGCAGAGAUAACGAAGAAUGUGUGUCUUCAUUGUGACUCAGCGGGCAAAGACAUGGAGUCAUAAAAAAGUGGGAGAUUUGGGGCGACUGACAAAUUUGGCCCACUGAUUCCAUUCCCAUAGACCAACACAGGUCCAUCAAAUUGAAUCAUUCUUAUGCAGAAUUUAAUGGAACUCCAGUGCCCAUUGUGUUAGUUUUUGAUGACGGAACCCUCUUUCUCUGUAAACUUGAACUUGAGGGGUAGGGCUACCCCUCUAAAUCUCUGUUUUGUGAUAAAAUCGUGUAACAU